UACAGAGGGGGCUAGCGUUAUUCGGAAUUAUUGGGCGUAAAGGGCGCGUAGGCGGCCAUGCGUGUCUUCCGUGAAAUCCCUCGGCUUAACUGAGGACGUGCGGAAGAAACUGCAAGGCUCGAGUCCGGGAGAGGGGGGUGGAAUUCCCAGUGUAGCGGUGAAAUGCGCAGAUAUCGGGAAGAACACCCGUGGCGAAGGCGGUUCUCUGGGACGGUACUGACGCUGAGACGCGAAAGCGUGGGGAGCGAACAGG
rnacentral:rRNA from 1 species